rnacentral:rRNA from 1 species
GACGAACGCUGGCGGCGUGCCUAAUACAUGCAAGUCGAACGCAGUGGGGACGGGUGAGUAACACGUGGGUAACCUCCCAUCAGAGGGGAUAACACUUGGAAACAGGUGCUAAACCGAUACUGAUGGAUGAACCCGCGGUGCAUUAGCUAGUUGGUGAGGUAACGGCUCACCAAGGCCACGAUGCAUAGCCGACUGGAUGGGGUGAUCGGCCAAACUGGGACGGAUACACGGCCCAGACUCGUACGGGAGGCAGCAGGAGGGAAUCUUCGGAAAUGGACGAAAUUCUGACCGAUCAACGCCGCGUGAGGGAAGAAGGUUUUCGGAUCUUAAAACCCUGUUGUUAGAGAAGCGGUAUCUAACCAGAAAGCCACGGCUAACUACGUGCCAGCAGCCGCGGUAAUUC